UUCUUUAAGAACUUUUAACUUAAAGUAAAACCUGCUCAAUGAAUAUAAAUAGCCGCAGUUAUCCUGUGCUAAGGUAGCAUAAUCACUUGCUUUCUAAAUAAAAGAUAGAAUGAAAGGUUAAACGAUAAACUACUUCAUUUCAAAAUCUUAAUCAAAUUAAUAUUCAAGUAAAAAAGCAUGAACAAAAUAACAAGACGACAAGACCCUACUAAACUUCCUAUUCAGUUGGGGCAACAAAAUAAUAAAACCUUAUAUUUAAUAACAAAACAUUUCACAACAAUUAUAUAAUGAUUAGUUACUAUAGGGAUAACAGCGCAAUUUCUUUUAAGAGAUCUUAUCCAAAAAGAAGAUUACGACCUCGAUGUUGAAUUAAUUUAACUAAUACGAAGCAAAACUUUAUACAAGUUAGUCUGUUCGACUAUUAAAAAAUU
rnacentral:rRNA from 1 species